GAUGAACGCUGGCGGCGUGCUUAACACAUGCAAGUCGAACGGAAAGGCUCCUGCUUGCAGGGGUACUCGAGUGGCGAACGGGUGAGUAACACGUGGGUGAUCUGCCCUGCACUUCGGGAUAAGCCUGGGAAACUGGGGCAAUAACGGGGAAGAAGAUGGUUUUGGAGGCAGUUGGGUAAGGUUUUUCGGUUGUGGGUGAACUUGCGGCCUAAUCGGUUGUUGGUGGGGUAAUGGGCCACCAAAGGGUUGACGGGGUGGCGGCCUGAGAGGGGGUACGGCCACAAUGGGACUGAGAGACGGCCCAGACUCCUACGGGAGGCAGCAGUGGGGAAUAUUGCACAAUGGGCGCAAGCCUGAUGCAGCGACGCCGCGUGGGGGAUGACGGCCUUCGGGUUGUAAACUCCUUUCGCUAGGGACGAAGCGCAAGUGACGGUACCUGGAGAAGAAGCACCGGCUAACUACGUG
rnacentral:rRNA from 1 species